AGCGGCGGAUGGGUGAGUAACACGUGGGGAACCUGCCCCUAAGUCUGGGAUACCAUUUGGAAACAGGUGCUAAUACCGGAUAAUAAAGCAGAUCGCAUGAUCAGCUCUUGAAAGGCGGCGUAAGCUGUCGCUAAGGGAUGGCCCCGCGGUGCAUUAGCUAGUUGGUAAGGUAACGGCUUACCAAGGCGACGAUGCAUAGCCGAGUUGAGAGACUGAUCGGCCACAUUGGGACUGAGACACGGCCCAAACUCCUACGGGAGGCAGCAGUAGGGAAUCUUCCACAAUGGACGCAAGUCUGAUGGAGCAACGCCGCGUGAGUGAAGAAGGUUUUCGGAUCGUAAAGCUCUGUUGUUGGUGAAGAAGGAUAGAGGUAGUAACUGGCCUUUAUUUGACGGUAAUCAACCAGAAAGUCACGGCUAACUACGUGCCAGCAGCCGCGGUAAUACGUAGGUGGCAAGCGUUGUCCGGAUUUAUUGGGCGUAAAGCGAGCGCAGGCGGAAAAAUAAGUCUAAUGUGAAAGCCCUCGGCUUAACCGAGGAACUGCAUCGGAAACUGUUUUUCUUGAGUGCAGAAGAGGAGAGUGGAACUCCAUGUGUAGCGGUGGAAUGCGUAGAUAUAUGGAAGAACACCAGUGGCGAAGGCGGCUCUCUGGUCUGCAACUGACGCUGAGGCUCGAAAGCAUGGGUAGCGAACAGGAUUAGAUACCCUGGUAGUCCAUGCCGUAAACGAUGAGUGCUAAGUGU
rnacentral:rRNA from 1 species